UACAGAGGGUGCGAGCGUUGUCCGGAAUCACUGGGCGUAAAGGGCGCGUAGGUGGCGUGAUAAGGGUGUGGUGAAAGCCCGGGGCUCAACCCCGGGUCUGCCAUGCCGACUGUCAGGCUCGAGUGCUGUAGGGGCAGGCGGAAUUCCGGGUGUAGCGGUGGAAUGCGUAGAGAUGUGGAGGAACACCGAUGGCGAAGGCAGCCCCCUGGGCCAAUACUGACGCUCAUGCACGAAAGCGUGGGGAGCAAACAGG
rnacentral:rRNA from 1 species